CACACCAAAGAGCAUUUAACAUGCAUCAUGGUCUCAGGUCAAGAGUAUAUUCAAUAGUUGACAGUGAUGUGGCCUCUAGCUUUCCAGAAGAGAGGAAGUCACUGUCCAUCAUACAGUGCUUUAAUUUGAGUGUGAGCACCUGAAAUUUGGAUUUCUUAAAUAUCUCUGUCUCAGGACUUAGCAUGAUGCCUGAGGCUGAACUGAUGUCUGUGGAGAAAAGAACACGAAGGAAUAAUGUAAUAUGAAACUCCCUAACAUGAUACAUAUACAAAGACUAUUGAGAAAUCAAUGUGGAAAAUGCAAAACUAAGGGAGAAAGCAUUUUGAACCACUCAUCUAAGAAUAUGGUCAGUAUUAAAAAGACAAGAAUAUCAGAAAAAUCUCCCAAGUUAUGUUCAUAGGCUUAGCAGAAUAAAGGUAAGGCUUACUAGUUAAAUGAAUGAGAGAGGAGAAUUUUUUCUAAAUCUUAGAAAAUGUUCAGGCUCUCCCAUCUUUCUCCACACCCCUCAUGAGCAUCUCUGUAAAAACUGCCAUCAGGACCAAAGACAGCAGCUCUCAGUUUAACGUAGGUGCCAGUGACCAAACUACCGCUCAAGGAAAUAAGAGAGGAUACAAACAAAUGGAAAAACAUUCCAUGCUCAUGGAU
rnacentral:lncRNA from 1 species